rnacentral:rRNA from 1 species
AGAGUGAACGCUGGCGGUAGGCCUAACACAUGCAAGUCGAACGGCAGCACAGUAGGAGCUUGCUCUUACGGGUGGCGAGUGGCGGACGGGUGAGGAAUACAUCGGAAUCUACCUUUUGGUGGGGGAUAACGUAGGGAAACUUACGCUAAUACCGCAUACGCCCUUCGGGGGAAAGCCGGGGACCAGCAAUGGCCUGGCGCUGAUAGAUGAGCCGAUGUCGGAUUAGCUAGUUGGUGAGGUAGUGGCUCACCAAGGCGACGAUCCGUAGCUGGUCUGGAGAGGAUGAUCAGCCACACGUUGGAACUG